rnacentral:lncRNA from 1 species
UUGAUUUUAUUGUAUUUGGCCUCCAACAAACAAGAUGCGGUCAAAGAUGCGAUCACGCGUUGAACGCACGACCGACGCAAAUAUAAAUUCAGCUGGACACAUACCAUUACCAUCCCAAACAAAUAAAAUUUAAAUAAAACAAACAUUCAUUUAAGGUCGUACAUUGGAGUUGAUCACAUCUUCGCUCUCCAUUCGGUAGCGAAAGGUCACCGAACAUCCCGCGCCAAAUCUCUCCAUUCGGUAGCGAAAGGUUACCGGACAUCCCGCGCCAAAUCUCUACAUUCGGUAGAGAAAGGUCACCGGACAUCCCGCGCAUUUGGGGCUUCACACACAACACAACACCGGCAUGCCGGCCGAUGCUGCCGGUGGCACGCGCUUCAGGUCAUCACCGGCCGCCGGUGCUGUGUCUCUCAUUGUGCCGGG